AACGAACGCUGGCGGCAUGCCUAACACAUGCAAGUCGAACGAGACCUUCGGGUCUAGUGGCGCACGGGUGCGUAACGCGUGGGAACAUGCCCUUAGGUUCGGAAUAACUCCCCGAAAGGGGUGCUAAUACCGGAUAAUGUCUUCGGACCAAAGAUUUAUCGCCUUUGGAUGGGCCCGCGUUGGAUUAGCUAGUUGGUAGGGUAAAAGCCUACCAAGGCGACGAUCCAUAGCUGGUCUGAGAGGAUGAUCAGCCACACUGGGACUGAGACACGGCCCAGACUCCUACGGGAGGCAGCAGUGGGGAAUAUUGGACAAUGGGCGGAAGCCUGAUCCAGCAAUGCCGCGUGAGUGAUGAAGGCCUUAGGGUUGUAAAGCUCUUUUACCCGGGAUGAUAAUGACAGUACCGGGAGAAUAAGCCCCGGCUAACUCCGUG
rnacentral:rRNA from 1 species